CACUCCUGCGGGAGGCAGCAGUGGGGAAUUUUGGACAAUGGGCGAAAGCCUGAUCCAGCAAUGCCGCGUGAGUGAAGAAGGCCUUCGGGUUGUAAAGCUCUUUUGUCAGGGAAGAAACGGUGAGAGCUAAUAUCUUUUGCUAAUGACGGUACCUGAAGAAUAAGCACCGGCUAACUACGUGCCAGCAGCCGCGGUAAUACGUAGGGUGCAAGCGUUAAUCGGAAUUACUGGGCGUAAAGCGUGCGCAGGCGGUUUUGUAAGUCUGAUGUGAAAUCCCCGGGCUCAACCUGGGAAUUGCAUUGGAGACUGCAAGGCUAGAAUCUGGCAGAGGGGGGUAGAAUUCCACGUGUAGCAGUGAAAUGCGUAGAUAUGUGGAGGAACACCGAUGGCGAAGGCAGCCCCCUGGGUCAAGAUUGACGCUCAUGCACGAAAGCGUGGGGAGCAAACAGGAUUAGAUACCCUGGUAGUCCC
rnacentral:rRNA from 1 species